rnacentral:rRNA from 1 species
GACGAACGCUGGCGGCGUGCUUAACACAUGCAAGUCGAACGGUAAGGCCCUUCGAGGUACACGAGUGGCGAACGGGUGAGUAACACGUGGGUGAUCUGCCCUGCACUUCGGGAUAAGCCUGGGAAACUGGGUCUAAUACCGGAUAGGACUCCUGGCUUCAUGGUUGGGGGUGGAAAGCUUUUGCGGUGUGGGAUGGGCCCGCGGCCUAUCAGCUUGUUGGUGGGGUAAUGGCCUACCAAGGCGAAGACGGGUAGCCGGCCUGAGAGGGUGACCGGUCACACUGGGACUGCGAUACGGCCCAGACUCCUACGGGAGGCAGCAGUGGGGAAUAUUGCACAAUGGGCGCAAGCCUGAUGCAGUGACGCCGCGUGAGGGAUGACGGCCUUCGGGUUGUAAACCUCUUUCAGCUAUGACGAAGCGCAAGUGACGGUAGUAGCAGAGGAAGGACCGGCCAACUACGUGCCAGCCGCCGCUGUAA